GGGGGGGGGAGAUCCAAAGAAAGGCAAGAAGGAAGGAAGCAAAGGAGGCAGGGAAGACAGAGAGAAAAGGGGUAGGGGAAGGAGGUGGAAGAAGGAGAUAAAGAACAAGGGAGCGAAAGAGACAUCGCGUCUGCGAAUCCCCGGGAGCUGAAUUACAGCGCAUCUCUUGUUCACAUCUCUAACUCAAAAGCAUCCCGUUCUCCCCGGAAACCACUCUUCUUUUCUCCAAGCUCGCAGUUUGUGGAAUGUAAAGCGAGUACUGCAAUGCAGCUCAGUGUCUUCUCCCAGAAUGGAGCAGAGAGUUAAGCGACGGGAUGGGGGAGAUAUUUUACCUUCCAUUGCUGCAACUGCAGAUGCCAAGAGGAAAAGCAUUAAAGAAUCCAGUGCCAUCGUCUUUCUUUACUUUAAAUAUUCCCUGGAUCCCCUGCCGAGGAGUUGAUGGAGCUGUGAAACAGGAGCUACAUUUGGAGUCAGAAAACCUACAUUCAAAUACAGCUUUGACACCUACCACCUUGGGCAAGUCGCUUACUAUCUCUAGGCCUCAGUUUCCUCAUCUGUAAAAUGAGGGAGUUGGACAAGAAGAUGUUUAAGGUCAGUUCUAGCUCAGAGUCUAUGAAUUUCCAUUGUAGACUUCAUCUUUCUGGAUGACACAUCCCCUUGCAGUGUCAACCCUAUCAUUUUUUCCUAAUUUUACA
rnacentral:lncRNA from 1 species